GAUGAAGAACGUAGCGAAAUGCGAUAACUAAUGUGAAUUGCAGAAUUCAGUGAAUCAUCGAGUCUUUGAACGCACAUUGCGCCCCCUGGUAUUCCGGGGGGCAUGCCUGUCCGAGCGUCAUUGCUGCCCUCAAGCCCGGCUUGUGUGUUGGGUCGCCGUCCCCCUCUCCGGGGGGACGGGCCCGAAAGGCAGCGGCGGCACCGCGUCCGAUCCUCGAGCUUAUGGGGCUUUGUCACAUGCUCUGUAGGAUUGGCCGGCGCCUGCCGACGUUUUCCAACCAUUCUUUCCAGGUUGACCUCGGAUCAGGUAGGGAUACCCGCUGAACUUAAGCAUAUCAAUAAGCGGAGGA
rnacentral:misc_RNA from 1 species